GGUUCACAUUAUUUUUCUACUUAUAGACUCAUAAUUGUGCGACAGAACUCCUAGUUAUAGACUAAAUAAUCUUUACCAUGAGAUUGUGUGGACAACAUAGUUUGAGUUCUUUUAACCAUCCUUGAACUUUUGUUCAAGCCUAGUGACUUAGUACAUGAAAAUCAUCCCACCUUUCAUCCUGUCCUGAUAAACUGGGAUCAUGUAGACAGCACAUUUAGCCAUUAACCCAUUAAGCGCCAGCGCUCUCCCCUUGAUGAGUAAAAUCGUCUGGCGUUAGACAGAGUAAAAUACUAAAGUAGGGUGCAUCAGGGUGCAAUGCGACUCGAUGGGUUAAGUUGAUUUGCACCCUAAUUUACCUACUUAUAUUAUUUAACUCUGUCUAAUGUCAGACAAUUUUAUUAAGCAGGGGGAGCACUAGCAGUUAAUGGGUAUAAACUAGGCAUAUGGGCAUUCUCAUUAUGAAGCAUAAAAUCGUCUGGCGUUGGACAGUAAAAUACUCAAGUAGAGCAUGCAUCAGGGCACUGUAUACAACCUAAUGGUUUAAUUUUUUGUACCAAAAUGGUUUAAGUUUUAUAUCUGAAUUAAUUGAUUUUUUGCCUUGUUUUACAGAUCAUUACUGAUGAAUUGUGACUAUACUAAAUGGAUACAAAGAGACUAUGAUGGAUAAAUAUGGCCCCGUAAUGGGAUAUUCAGUUGAUGGACAUACAAAGGUCACAGAAAUGUCUACUUUCAGGUACUGUUCUUUCUUGUUUGCCUGCAGGCUGUAGAUACUUGUACCCAGGCCAUUGUUUGUUUUGUUGUUCUGGGUACAAUGAAAUCCGGCAUAAAUCCUGGCGGUCUAAAUGUUCAGUAUAUUUACACAUUCAAUCUAUUUUCUGUUCAGUAGACUUUGAUAGCUUGAAUGAAAGUUUACGAUGAUUUUCUUUGCAAAAACUGUACUUUCGAAAUUCAUCAGCUUCUGAAUUUGAAAACGGAUCUGAAAAGAGAGAACAUUUGAUUGUAUGGUUAUUGAGUGUAUGGUCAUUACAAAUGCAGCAACCCAACAGUUUAGACAGGGUCAUGAGGCAGGAUGUGUACAAGAAAAGCUUUGCCAGAGUUUUGAACGACGACUGGAAAUUGCUGUUUGAUUCUUUGUAAUAUCUUAUUGCUCGUUAGUAAAAAAGAAAUUUGUCACUUUCCUCAUGUAAACCUUUUUCAAAAAACUGGCAUCGUUUGUCUUGGGGUUAUGGGGGUACAAAUGGUACCCAUAGCUUAGAGGGUGCAAAUGGUACCCGUAAGAAGACUUGGUGGAAAUCAUGUUGGUCGUUUGGAUCGGCGAGAAUAAGACAAUUAUGGCGGCAAAGUUUUUUUUAAACAUUUUCUCUCCCGUAGUAAGGUAAAGCAUGUAUUUUCCUGGUAGCCGGUCUUACUUCAUGAAAAAAACAGUCCGCUACCAGUGACUAGGUCCCCUCUCUUAUGGCGGUCAUUGCGGCUCAAUACCUUCAGGGAUAUUCCUUUUCAGGGCGGUUGCAUGCGGAUAAUAUGGUCCGUCGCGUGCGCAAAAUAGUUAGGGAGAUAGACAGUUUAGAGGCGUCGAAACUGCGCAAUAGAGACCUUACGAUUUUAGGACGGCAACCGCGACGGCAACGGCUACCAAUACAAUAGAUCAUUGAAAAGAAUUGAGUAAUUACAAUAAAUGAAUAAUUUAGACAUUGUCCUCGCUCUGUUUACAACGC
rnacentral:lncRNA from 1 species